rnacentral:rRNA from 1 species
AUUGAACGCUGGCGGCAGGCCUAACACAUGCAAGUCGAACGAGUGGCGGACGGGUGAGUAGUGUCUGGGAAACUGCCUGACGGAGGGGGAUAACUACUGGAAACGGUAGCUAAUACCGCAUACCAUCAGAUGUGCCCAGAUGGGAUUAGCUUGUUGGUGGGGUAACGGCUCACCAAGGCGACGAUCCCUAGCUGGUCUGAGAGGAUGACCAGCCACACUGGAACUGAGACACGGUCCAGACUCCUACGGGAGGCAGCAGUAGGGAAUAUUGGACAAUGGGCGAAAGCCUGAUGCAGCAAUGCCGCGUGAGUGAAGAAGGCUUUCGGGUUGUAAAAUACUUUCAGCGGGGAGGCGUUACCCACAGAAGAAGCACAGGCUAACUCCGUGCCAGCAGCCGCGGUAAUUC